CCGUUUCCAAUAUGAAGGGCUAAUGCAAGUCUGCUACAAGGGUGGUAUGGUGGACCACUUCUUUGACCUCUGCCUUAAAGCUGCGGCUCGGUGAGUGACCCGUCAAGCUGUAACUCUUGGAUGGUGGCGGAUCGGCUGAAGUGCCAUCAUUUACACCCGAUAGUUUCAGGAAUUGAAUCAAUAGUUGAUCAAAGUUUUUUAGAAAUCCAUAAACAAAUUAUCAAAUCCUAUAAAAUUCGUAGCGUCAAACUCUAUUGCCUCUAUAAACCUUCACCUAAGACAAUCGUCGGGAGAUUCUAGACUCCGAACUUGCUGCUGGCCAGAGAGGGGCUGAGAAACCCCGCCGGCGUUCUUCCGCGAUGGUGACUGUUCUUGCUCCUUCCUUCUUAAUUUUAGGGUUCAUUCAUUCCUAUCUAUUCGAAUGAACCAGAACAUGGAUUCCAACAAGCAAUUGGGCCCUGAUCAUUCCAAGGGCCCAAGUUCAUCUAAGGCUCCACUCACUUUCGAGGCCACGGUAUCGACACUAUUUGCCAGCCCGG
rnacentral:lncRNA from 1 species